rnacentral:rRNA from 1 species
AUUGAACGCUGGCGGCAGGCUUAACACAUGCAAGUCGAACGAGUGGCGGACGGGUGAGUAAUGCUUGGGAAUCUGGCUUAUGGUGGGGGAUAACGACGGGAAACUGUCGCUAAUACCGCGUACCAUAGGAUGAGCCCAAGUGGGAUUAGGUAGUUGGUGGGGUAAUGGCCUACCAAGCCGUCGAUCUCUAGCUGGUCUGAGAGGAUGACCAGAAAAACCGGGACUGAGACACGGCCCGGACUCCUAAGCGAGGCAGCAGUGGGGAAGAGUGCGCAAUGGGGGCAACCUGACGCAGCAAUGACGCGUGAAUGAAGAAGGCCUUCGGGUUGUAAAGUUCUUUCGGUGACGAGGCGUUAAUCACAGAAGAAGCACCGGCUAACUCCGUGCCAGCAGACGCGGUAAUUC